GUUGGGUAUAAAUAGAGCCGCCUCAGUCCGGUCACGUCACUCUCAAAUGAAAAGUGUUUAAGUGAAGUCAAAGUGAAGCUGAAAAAAAAUCGAAAAACCAGUUAAAAUUAGUACAAAGAAAUUUUCUGUCUUGCAAUCUGCAAGCAAUAGCUUUAACCGAAAAUGGAAAAGUGUAAAAAUCGUGUCCCAGGAGGCGAGCAGCAGUACGAGUAUUGCAAAAUGCAGGGGCAAGGGCCCACGUAGUAUUUUUCCACGUCGGGCAUUUAAUGCUCUCGAGUUGGAAACAAAGAAACCGAAUGCAAACCCACUGGAAAAGAUGUGAUUAGUCAUCGAUUUUGCUGGUCAGCGUCGGGGAAUUUCGCAAAGCAGCAGGCAGUUUUCUCGAGUUUGGCUAGAAAGUGAACCACUAGGCAGUCUGAGGCAGUUAUCCAGGAUGUCAGGAUGUGUGCAGUACUCUCUGUGUCGAAUGGCGGUGGCCCUGACCUGCGGAUUUUGAAAGAUUGAAAUAGGAAGCCAGUUGGGCGUUGAAAGUUGAUAUCGAUAUCGAUCCGUGAAAAAUCGAUACCCUGCGCAAGCAUGGGGCGGCAUAUGGGUGCUGAAAACGCACUCGGCCCGAUCCCGAUUGCAGCGUUAUUCGAAAGCUGUGUCUGCGACCAUGACUGAGAUCAUAUGCGUACAUAUAUCUAAUGUCCGGGGUCGUGGGCCAGCCAGGGUGCUCGAUUCUGUCAGAUUGAUUGUGCGGAUUGUGUUAUAGGAACACUGGUGUAUCGACUUCUCUGCUCCACUAUGGGUGAAGGAUACCCUACCGAAAAGGCCUUCUGUCGCUUACUAUCAUCGAACAAGUUCCGUAAAGGGCAGACAUACGUACACGUGGCAGCAUAUUACGUUCAAUGACACAUCGUCUCUGGAUUAGUAGUUGAACCAACGAGCUCGAACAUACCCUGCCAGUUGGUUGUAAAUAUUAAUUUUGUUUUUAUAUUCAGUUGUAAAGUCAAUACGGAAGACAUUUCCACACCAACCAUGUGUCACUUAUGUUCUUAAAUACCAGAAACUGUUUAAAUUUUUGUUCUUAUACACUUCACCAAUUAAGAAUUACCUGUACUGAUGUAAGUGUACUUGUUGAAUCACAACAAAAAUAGAAAAAAUGAAUAACAAAAGAGCUCUAUAAUAGAAAAGCCACAGAAAAGUGAAUAAAAAAUUCAAAAACUCAUAAAAAUAAAUUUCGAAACAUCUGCUCGUGAUAUUUUUAUUUCAAGAAAAGAUCCGAUUUCAGUUAUACCAUCUAGCUUAAAUUUAGCGUUACGAGAAUAGUCCCUCGGAGGAAGGGCCUUUUAUCAAGAUGCCAAUAGCGUUCGUCCUAUACACAAAUUACUCAGACGUUAUGAAACCCAGUCGAAAAAUCGGAAAGUGUCUACCAUUGAGGAAAGGUCUCUUGAUCUCCUUUGAGCGCUAAAAGUUUGUAUUGGAACGAGAAUAUUAAGGUUUAAAAUCAGCUGAAAAGUACGUAUAUUCCGCAUUUAUUUUUCUCCACAUUUUUAGGAUCAGAACAUCAGAACUAUAUUUUUUGGAAAAAUCAACGGAAAUUAUUUUGUUUGGAGGUCCCAAAUUCUAUACACCUUCACGAUUAUUCUUGCACACGAAAAAAACAAUAAAUUAUUUUUAUUGAAUGACAAAAAAACACAUUUAUAACUUGAAAACUAUUCUAAGUACUUCAAUUUAAUUACCGUACCAACAUAUAUACACAUGCGACUCGUGUUGGACGAGAUUACAUUAAGAGAACUGUGAAAAAUAAAAAAAAAAAGGCUUACAAUUAGAAAAUGUAAGGUACAAUAUUCUUUAUAAGGAUUUUUUAAAAAUAAAUAAUAAUAACAAAAUGAACCACAAUAAUAUGAUACCUUCAACAAUAGAUAUGAUUUAUGUCGAUUUCCCCAAAUAUAAUCCGUCGAAAAGGCUUAGCCUCCUUGUAAAAUAAACUUAAAACCGUAAAGGUACGGUUUGAUAUUAAACUGUCCCCAAACAACAUCGCAUCUAAUAAUUAACUAAAUUAUUAAGCAAUUUAAAAGGUUGUGUUUUUAGGGUAUACUAGUUAACUUAAUAGGUAGGCAUUUGACAUACGGUAGUUUCCAUGGUAUGUAUUAUAUGAACUCUGCAAUAAAAUGUAUGAUUUAUCUCGAUAAUAACAAGUAUUAUCCGUCGAAAAUAUAUGAAUUCUACAAUAAUAGGUAGGAUUUAUGCCGGUUAACAAAAACAUUAUGCGUCUGAUUGAACAUUGAAGUAUAUGGUAUUUUUUAUUUGGUAUAUCUAAGCAACAUAAAAAUGACCCCAAAUUCUAUGAGCUCUUUAAAAAUAGGUUUUAUUUAUCCCGAUAACCCAAAUCAUUAUCCGUAGAAAAGGCUUGGCCUCUUGGUAAAAGAAACUUAAAAUCCAUAUAGGUAGGGUGUGUUAUAAAACUAUCCCAAUUCAAAAUCGCGUCACAUAAUAAACAAAAAGUUGAAGCAUCUUAAAAGGUCUGAUUUUUAGGACAUAUUCAUUUACUUAAUAGGUAGGCAUUGAACAUACGGUAUUUUUAUAUGGUAUAUCCUAGCAACUGCAACAUGACCCACAAUUAUAUAAACUGUUAAGUAAUGGGUAUGAUAUAUCUCGACUACCCCAAUGAUUAUCCUUCGAAAAGGCUUAGCCUCUUGGUAAAAUAAACUUAAUUUCCAUAUAGGUAGGAUGUCUUAUAAAACUGUCCCACUUCAAAAUCUCGUCACAUAAUAAGCAAAAAGUUUAAGCAUCUUAAAAGGUAUGAUUUUUAGGACAUAUUCAUUUACUCAAUAGGUAGGCAUUGAACAAUCGGUAUUUUAAUAUGGUAUAUAUAUAAACAACUGCAACAUGACUCCUACAAUUAUAUAAACUCUUUAACAAGAUAUUUUUUUAAUCCCGAUUACCGAUAUUCAUUAUCCUUCGAAAAGGCUUAGCCUCUUGGAAAAAUAAACUUAAAAUCCCUAUAGGUAGGGUGUGAUAUCAAACUAUCCAAAUUCAAAAUCUCGUCACAUAAUAAACAAAAAGUUUAAGCAUCCUAAAAGGUCUGAUUUUUAGGACAUAUUCAUUUACUCAAUAGGUAGGCAUUGAACAAUCGGUAUUUUAAUAUGGUAUAUAUAUAAACAACUGCAACAUGACUCCUACAAUUAUAUAAACUCUUUAACAAGAUAUUUUUUUAAUCCCGAUUACCGAUAUUCAUUAUCCUUCGAAAAGGCUUAGCCUCUUGGUAAAAUAAACUUAAAAUCCCUAUAGGUAGGGUGUGAUAUAAAACUUUCCCACUUCAAAAUCACGUCACAUAAUAAAAAAAAAGUUUAAGCAUCCUAAAAGGUCUGAUUCUUAGGGCAUAAUAAAUUACUUAAUAGGUAGGCACUGAACAUACGGUAUUUUUUAUGGACAUUUUAAUUUACUUAAAAGGUAGGCAUUGAACAUACGGUAUUUUUUAUAUGGCUUAUCUAAGCAACAUCAACAUGACCCACAAUUCUAUAAAGUCUUUAACAAUAGGUUUUAUUUACCCCGAUUAUCCCAAUCAUUACCCUUCAAAAAGGCUUAGCCUCUUGGUAAAAUAAACUUAUAAUCCCUAUAGGUAGGGUGUGUUAUGAAACUGUCCCAAUUCAAAAUAGAGUCUGGUAAUAAACAAAAGUUAAAGCAACGCGAAGGAUGGGAUUUUUAGGACAUACUAAAAUAAAUAAUAGGUAGGCAUUGAACAUACGGAAUUUGUAUAUGGUAUAUCUAAACAACUGCAACAUUACUCCCACAAUUAUAUGAACUCUUUAACAAGAUAUUUUAUUUAUCCCGAUUACCCCAAUGAUUAUCCUUCGAAAAGGCUUAGCCUCUUGGUAAAAUAAACUUAAUUUCCAUAUAGGUAGGAUGUCUUAUAAAACUGUCCCACUUCAAAAUCUCGUCACAUAAUAAGCAAAAAGUUUAAGCAUCUUAAAAGGUAUGAUUUUUAGGACAUAAUAAUUUACUUAAUAGGUAGGCAUUGAACAUACGGUAUUUUUUAUGGUUUAUCUAAGCAACAUCAACAUGACCCACAAUUCUAUGAAGUCCUUAACAAUAGGUUUUAUUUAUUCCGAUUAUCCCAAUCAUUACCCUUCGAAAAGGCUUAGCCUCUUGGUAAAAUAAUUUUAAAAUCCCUAUAGGUAGGGUGUGUUAUAAAACUGUCCCAAUUCAAAAUCGAGUCUGGUAAUAAACAAAAUUUAAAGCAACGCGAACGAAAGGAUUUUUAGGACAUACUAAAUUAUUUAAUAGGAAGGCAUUGAACAUACGGAAUUUUUAUAUGGUAUAUCUAAACAACUGCAACAUUACUCCCACAAUUAUAUGAACUCUUUAACAAGAUAUUUUAUUUAUCCCGAUUACCCCAAUGAUUAUCCUUCGAAAAGGCUUAGCCUCUUGGUAAAAUAAACUUAAUUUCCGAAUAGGUAGGAUGUCUUAUAAAACUGUCCCACUUCAAAAUCUCGUCACAUAAUAAGCAAAAAGUUUAAGCAUCUUAAAAGGUAUGAUUUUUAGGACAUAAUAAUUUACUUAAUAGGUAGGCAUUGAUUAUACGGUAUUUUUUAUGGUUUAUCUAAGCAACAUCAACAUGACCCACAAUUCUAUGAAGUCCUUAACAAUAGGUUUUAUUUAUCCCGAUUAUCCCAAUCAUUACCCUUCGAAAAGGCUUAGCCUCUUGGUAAAAUAAUUUUAAAAUCCCUAUAGGUAGGGUGUGUUAUAAAACUGUCCCAAUUCAAAAUCGAGUCUGGUAAUAAACAAAAUUUAAAGCAACGCGAACGAAAGGAUUUUUAGGACAUACUAAAAUAAAUAAUAGGUAGGCAUUGAACAUACGGAAUUUGUAUAUGGUAUAUCUAAACAACUGCAACAUUACUCCCACAAUUAUAUGAACUCUUUAACAAGAUAUUUUAUUUAUCCCGAUUACCCCAAUGAUUAUCCUUCGAAAAGGCUUAGCCUCUUGGUAAAAUAAACUUAAUUUCCAUAUAGGUAGGAUGUCUUAUAAAACUGUCCCACUUCAAAAUCGAGUCUGGUAAUAAACAAAAUUUAAAGCAACGCGAAGGAUAGGAUUUUUAGGACAUACUAAAUUAUUUAAUAGGAAGGCAUUGAACAUACGGAAUUUUUAUAUGGUAUAUCUAAACAACUGCAACAUUACUCCCACAAUUAUUUGAACUCUUUAACAAGAUAUUUUAUUUAUCCCGAUUACCCCAAUGAUUAUCCUUUGAAAAGGCUUAGCCUCUUGGUAAAAUAAACUUAAUUUCCAUAUAGGUAGGAUGUCUUAUAAAACUGUCCCUCUUCAAAAUCUCGUCACAUAAUAA